rnacentral:rRNA from 1 species
AAUGAACGCUGGCGGCGUGGUUAAGACAUGCAAGUCGAACGGUUUUUGUUGUGUAGCAAUACAUUACAAAAGCAGUGGCGAACGGGUGCGUAACACGUGAACAAUCUACCUCCAAGUGGGGAAUAGCUCUUCGAAAGAAGAGAUAAUACCGCAUCAGGUUGUCCUUCGCAUGAAGGGCAUACCAAAGUCAGGGACCGCAAGGCCUGACGCUCGGAGAGGAGUUCGCGGCCUAUCAGCUAGUUGGCGAGGU